rnacentral:rRNA from 1 species
GACCAACGGCCAUACCACGUUGAAAGUACCCAGUCUCGUCAGAUCCUGGAAGUCACACAACGUCGGGCCCGGUCAGUACUUGGAUGGGUGACCGCCUGGGAACACCGGGUGCUGUUGGUAU